ACCAUUGGCUUACCACAUUAAUUACACUCUAACAUCUUGAAUUGCUUUCCUGUUUACUGUGAUUAUUGCACUCAAGUGAAUCGACAAGUUAAAUAAAACGGCCCAUCGUUUUUGUUUCAGUGCAUGCCUUUCCUGGUGUCCAUGUUCACCUAUGUAUAAAUAGCAGGUUUUAAUAUCAAAAAUUGGUAAGAAUCUCAAAGUCAUGAGGAAUCAUUUUCGAGAAGAAAGACAGUUUCAGUGCUAAUGAAUGGUUUAUGCAAUUCUCAACAAGUGAAGAACAAGUCAAGUAAAAAGGGGUAAGCAACUCGGAUUUUUGGUAAUGAGGUUCUCACGUUGCAUAAAAGGAAGAAAAAAAGAAGGCCUUUACGCAUGAGUGAAAUGAUCUUUUUCUACUUGGAACCAAAAAGGAAGAAAGAAAAGAAAAUGAUCAUCUCUUUCUCACAUGACAUGUGAAGUGAGGACAACAGCCGAAAGGUAUUGGAAACCAUGCAUGACACCACACGUGCAGAGGAGCGUGCAAAGACAACACUGUUUAACUUGAGACCAUAGCAAUGAGCAAAGGUUAGAGAAAAAGAAAAGCUUUGUACAAAGGCAGGGAAACAAUCAAACAGACAGUAGUGAGCCUGAAAAUUAAAAGCCUGAUUGCAUUUGAUAUCGUGAUUAAGGGGCAGACAAGGCAUCUUUGUUCGACACAAAGCUCCUCUCUCCAUUUAUAGACUUCUUGCAAAUCCAAGCAAAUGCCUACUCCGCCCAUCUUUUCACAAAGUUGUUUUCCUAGGGAACACAAAUUCAUGUCUCUAUUUCAAAUUUCAUUUGUUGUAGGGACUGCCCACCUCUUGUUACCUUCUGAUUAUUUGCUUUAGUUGGAUUCACCUCC
rnacentral:lncRNA from 1 species